rnacentral:rRNA from 1 species
GAUGAACGCUGGCGGCGUGCUUAACACAUGCAAGUCGAACGGGAAUUACUUUAUUGAAACUUCGGUCGAUUUAAUUUAAUUCUAGUGGCGGACGGGUGAGUAACGCGUGGGUAACCUGCCUUAUACAGGGGGAUAACAGUCAGAAAUGGCUGCUAAUACCGCAUAAGCGCACAGAGCUGCAUGGCUCAGUGUGAAAAACUCCGGUGGUAUAAGAUGGACCCGCGUUGGAUUAGCUUGUUGGUGGGGUAACGGCCCACCAAGGCGACGAUCCAUAGCCGGCCUGAGAGGGUGAACGGCCACAUUGGGACUGAGACACGGCCCAGACUCCUACGGGAGGCAGCAGUGGGGAAUAUUGCACAAUGGGGGAAACCCUGAUGCAGCGACGCCGCGUGAAGGAAGAAGUAUCUCGGUAUGUAAACUUCUAUCAGCAGGGAAGAUAGUGACGGUACCUGACUAAGAAGCCCCGGCUAACUACGUGCCAGCCGCCGCAGUAA